UAGACAGUGCCUCCUUUUACCAUCUGUUGCAGUUGUUCACUGAACUUUGCCUGGGAUGGAUUGGGAUCCUCUGUGAUCCCAGUCUCACAGGUCUGGUAUCUCCAGUCUCAACCCAGUGCUAUCAACCCUGUACACUCCAGGUCAUCAUCCCCAAAGAAGAAGACAUCAAGGAAACUUCCAGCCAAAAUGUGCUCACUUGUGAAGUCUUCUUGCAUCUCAACCACGCCUGAACUCUCUGCCUUCUCAGAUGGUGAGAGGUUCAGCAUCAUUAUGUUUGACAUUCCGUCAACUAGUUUUGACUCAACACCUUAAAGGAAUGACUCAACCUGAAAAAGCACAGGAGCCAUUGAUACGUCGGACAGCUAUUUAAAGCUCAACCAAAGCAACACCGAACCUGUCAAAACUGUUCAAAUUCCAUUUGUCGCUCUGAAGCUAAGCAUCCAUGAUGAGUUUCAGGACUGCACACAGAACCUUUUGCUUCUUAUAUUCCAGAAAAUCUAGGUUUACUAUUGGCUGAAAACAGUCAUGUGAUGAGAAAUUUCUUCUCACAGGGACACAUAGUAAGAGCUGUAAUGACCUUAACCAAUCAGAUUGCAUAUGUAUAUAGCUGAAUGCUAAGUGGUGGUAGACGCAUUUAAAAAAAUAUUCAUCUCUCAGCCAAUGAGCUUACAAAAGUCUCUGCUUUUUGAUUGGCAUGUCAAGGAUGAAAUGUUGUUUUGGAUCUUUUGACUCUCUCUUUUCUUUAAUGUAAAAGGAAAAUCCCUGCUAUACUUAUUCAUAGCAAUUAGGCAGACACUUCUGACAUGUCUCAUGUUCCACAUGUUUGCAUGUAUAAUGAUAUGUUUUGAAUUUAGGUUUUUAGUGAUUAUCAGCACAUUGUGCUCCAAUUAAUUUGUAAUUUAAGUCAACAUAACUCUAUGGUCGGCUGAUUAGAUGACAUUGUCCUUGCUUUAUUAAUUCAAUAUCAAAGGCCAUAAGAUGCAUCCUGCGUCUGUUAGGGCAAAUAUACCGUCUUCAACCAAUCACUGGUGCCAUCAAAAUCAACCGUGUCUCAAGAAGCAAUUUGGACCCUGUAGUGAGGUGGUCUAGCUCCCCGCCGCCCCGGAGGGGGAGGAGCCCUGGCCAACUAGCUUACAGACCC